UUUAGUCAGGCAACGAGCGAGACCCGUGCCCACUGUUACCAGCAUGUCCUCAGGGACGAUGGGUACUCUGUGGGGACCGCCGGUGUUAAAUCGGAGGAAGGUGCGGGCCACGGUAGGUCAGUAUGCCCCGAAUCUCCCGGGCUACACGCGGGCUACAAUGGAUGGGACAAUGGGUCCCUACCCUGAAAAGGGAUGGUAAUCUCAUAAACCCAUUCUUAGUUCGGAUCGAGGGCUGUAACUCGCCCUCGUGAAGCUGGAAUCCGUAGUAAUCGCGUUUCAAUAUAGCGCGGUGAAUACGUCCCUGCUCCUUGCACA
rnacentral:rRNA from 1 species